UACGAAGGGUGCAAGCGUUACUCGGAAUUACUGGGCGUAAAGCGUGCGUAGGCGGUUCGUUAAGUCCGUUGUGAAAGCCCUGGGCUCAACCUGGGAAUAGCAGUGGAUACUGGCGAGCUAGAGUGUGAUAGAGGAUGGUGGAAUUCCCGGUGUAGCGGUGAAAUGCGUAGAGAUCGGGAGGAACACCAGUGGCGAAGGCGGCCAUCUGGAUCAACACUGACGCUGAGGCACGAAAGCGUGGGGAGCAUACAGG
rnacentral:rRNA from 1 species